GAUGUCAUGCAGGCAAGAUGGCGGAAGGGUGAGCCUGUCGUUUUGCUCCUAGGUGUUGAGGCCUGAAUUCUCCCAGGGUUGGGGUGCUGGUGGGGAACAUGAGAUCAGCGGGGGCGUGGACUGAUCUGAAAGGGCAGAGUGGAGUCACGUUGUGAGGGGGUGGGCAAGCGGUCUGCGAAGCCUCGGCCCGCAGGGUACAUCCGAGGGGGAAACAAACCGGAUCUUUGGGGCGGGCAGGGAUCGCACCGCGGUGCUGCCAGAUGUGUCUGUCUUCCACAGGGAGGACGUGGGAUGGUGGCGGAGCUGGCUGCAGCAGAGCUACCAAGCAGUCAAAGAGAAGUCCUCUGAAGCCUUGGAGUUUAUGAAGCGGGACCUGACAGAGUUUACCCAGGUGGUGCAGCAUGACACGGCCUGUACCAUCGCAGCCACGGCCAGCGUGGUCAAGGAGAAGCUGGUUACAGAAGGUUCCUCAGGAGCAACAGAGAAGAUGAAGAAAGGGUUGUCUGACUUCCUAGGAGUGAUCUCAGACACCUUUGCCCCCUCGCCAGACAAAACCAU
rnacentral:sRNA from 1 species